AAAUUGAAGAGUUUGAUCAUGGCUCAGAUUGAACGCUGGCGGCAGGCCUAACACAUGCAAGUCGAACGGUAACAGGAAGCAGCUUGCUGUUUCGCUGACGAGUGGCGGACGGGUGAGUAAUGUCUGGGAAACUGCCUGAUGGAGGGGGAUAACUACUGGAAACGGUAGCUAAUACCGCAUAACGUCGCAAGACCAAAGAGGGGGACCCUCGGGCCUCUUGCCAUCGGAUGUGCCCAGAUGGGAUUAGCUUGUUGGUGGGGUAACGGCUCACCAAGGCGACGAUCCCUAGCUGGUCUGAGAGGAUGACCAGCCACACUGGAACUGAGACACGGUCCAGACUCCUACGGGAGGCAGCAGUGGGGAAUAUUGCACAAUGGGCGCAAGCCUGAUGCAGCCAUGC
rnacentral:rRNA from 1 species